rnacentral:snRNA from 1 species
UGCUCUCUAUCUUCUGUCA